CCGAGUUAUACAACUCCUCAACCCUGUGAACAUACCUAAACUUGUUGCCUCGGCGGGAACAGCCGCGCCCUGUAAAACGGGACGCCCCGCCAGAGGACCCCUAACUCUGUUUCUAUAAUGUACUUCUGAGUAAACCAGAAAUAAAUCA
rnacentral:misc_RNA from 1 species